rnacentral:lncRNA from 1 species
UAUUCAACUUUUAAUAGAGAAAUUUAAUGGAAUAUAGAUGAAAGAGACUGAUAAUAAACAUAUUAUUAAAUUAGCUAUUCUUACAAGUUAUUUUAGGAAAUCCUAUUCCUAAUAAAAUGCAAGUAUCCAUUAUUUUAUAUAGUUUGCCUGAUUCUUGGGAGCAUGUUAUAAUUUUUCUUAAUUAUUCAGGUCAACUAAUUAUACUAAGAAAUUUGACAAUAUUAUGAAGGAUUGAAGCUGAAAGAAAGGCUAAAAAAAUCAUAGCUAAAUCUUUUUUGACAAUUGCUUCUAGUAGCGCGCUAUAAAAAGUUGAGCCACCUAGG